CCGUACACAAAAGCGCAUGUGCUGUGAGCUCGAUGAGUAGGGCGGGACACGUGGUAUCCUGUCUGAAUAUGGGGGGACCAUCCUCCAAGGCUAAAUACUCCUGACUGACCGAUAGUGAACCAGUACCGUGAGGGAAAGGCGAAAAGAACCCCGGCGAGGGGAGUGAAAAAGAACCUGAAACCGUGUACGUACAAGCAGUGGGAGCCCCACCACUAAGCCAGUGGUGAACUCCACAUCCGCAUCCUUUGCUGAGGAUACGGUUAACGGAGCGAAAGCGACGUUCAACCGCAAAACAAGCAGAGGGGGCUUAGUGGUGGGGUGACUGCGUACCUUUUGUAUAAUGGGUCAGCGACUUAUAUUCUGUAGCAAGGUUAACCGUAUAGGGGAGCCGGAGGGAAACC
rnacentral:rRNA from 1 species